CACGCUGGCGACAGAACCUGGAGAGGAC
rnacentral:piRNA from 1 species